CUAUCACAAAUUGCUUAUUUGAUUUAGAAAAAUACGGCUUUUUAAAAUCAAAAUUGAGAUAUCUGUUUUUUACGAUUUCUACUAUUGAAUUGAACCCACAAAUAUUGCCAUAAAUAUUAAAAUUAAUACAUAAUAUUUAGGGAUAUCCAUAUACGAUCCUAUUAAACUCAAACAGGUUAUGACUAUUUACUCAAAAGUGUGGGUUCGUUAGUUCAUAUCAGGAUUAUACAUUACGUACACAAUUAUACAAUCACAUCUGUUUAAUAAUCAAAAUCGCUCGAUUCAUAUUAAUGCGCGAUGUAAUGCCGCUCUAUGACUCAAUGUUUGUAAAAAUAUAUCAGGGAUUUCCAAUACUUGGAAAGUAUAAAAUUGAGGUUUGAGAUUAUAUGUUAAUAGUAAAUUGACAAAUUGAAGGAGAACAACGACUUUUUCUAGAUUCUGAACCUACUGAAUUAAAAAAAAAUAAAUAACUGUAUCAAAUUCAAACAUGACUUCUGGAUAUGAACCAAGCCCUAAUCCAAAGGACAGAUUUCAAAUAUCUGUGAAAGAUGUACAGAAUAGAAAUCAUGCAUUUGAGGUAUAUCCAGAAACGACUGUGAGAGAACUUAAAGAUAUGAUAUUCAGAAAAAUCAAGGUUAAUGUAGCACAACAGAGAUUGCUUUUUCAAAGUAAACAACUCAAUGAUGAAGACACAAUGGCAUUUUAUGAUAUCAAAAAAGGAAUAAAUGAACCCAUUUACUUGGUUUUAAGGUUAAGAGGAGGAUAAGCGGAACACUGAUCUACAUAUUGGUAACCUUGACUGACGGCAUAGGAACCACAAGGUGGAAACUAGUGAGCGUAUUCAUGCAGUUAUAAUGUGGACUACAGCUUUAUAUACAGCCUUGACUGUACAUGACAUGAGAACAAUACUGAGUAUUCUUAAUAGUGAGUGUAUUCCCGGGGCGGAUACAGGAUUUGGCGGUAGGGGGUGCGCGAGAGUCCACACCACCUCAGCCCCAAUACCAUUAAUCAAUAACAAAUAAUUACUAUAGUAAUUAUUUAUAACUCUGUAUUUCUCUUGUUUUUUUUAAAUUAUUAUUAACAAUUUUAUGUAAAGUUAAUGUAAAUUUUCUAUUAUGAUCCUUGCUUUUUGAUGUUUUUUAUGCUAAAGAUAAUUCUUUUUAGCUGCCAUGAUUUAUGUUUUUGAUGAAUUUUUGAAUUUUGAAUAAAGUACCAUUAUAUAUACAUAAAUCUCUCGCUGACAAGGCGAGCGUCAUAACCACUAGACCACGAAGGUUUCAUGGUUGAACAGGUCCAAAUAACCGU